ACGCAUGUCUAGAGUUUGAAAGAUGGUUCUGCUAUCACUCUUGGAUGGACCUGCGGUGCAUUAGCUAGUUGGUAAGGUAACGGCUUACCAAGGCAAUGAUGCAUAGCCGAGUUGAGAGACUGAUCGGCCACAUUGGGACUGAGACACGGCCCAAACUCCUACGGGAGGCAGCAGUAGGGAAUCUUCCACAAUGGACGAAAGUCUGAUGGGGCAACGCCGCGUGAGUGAAGAAGGGUUUCGGCUCGUAAAGCUCUGUUGGUAGUGAAGAAAGAUAGAGGUAGUAACUGGCCUUUAUUUGACGGUAAUUACUUAGAAAGUCACGGCUAACUACGUGCCAGCAGCCGCGGUAAUACGUAGGUGGCAAGCGUUGUCCGGAUUUAUUGGGCGUAAAGCGAGUGCAGGCGGUUCAAUAAGUCUGAUGUGAAAGCCUUCGGCUCAACCGGAGAAUUGCAUCAGAAACUGUUGAACUUGAGUGCAGAAGAGGAGAGUGGAACUCCAUGUGUAGCGGUGGAAUGCGUAGAUAUAUGGAAGAACACCAGUGGCGAAGGCGGCUCUCUGGUCUGCAACUGACGCUGAGGCUCGAAAGCAUGGGUAGCGAACAGGAUUAGAUACCCUGGUAGUCCAUGCCGUAAACGAUGAGUGCUAAGUGUUGGGAGGUUUCCGCCUCUCAGUGCUGCAGCUAACGC
rnacentral:rRNA from 1 species